GUUUUGUGUUGAUGCAAACCUGCUGUAACAGACCGCGCCUGCUCCUGACCCAGCAAUGUGGGAAAGAGAAAGGCACGGCUUGUUUUGGUGGUGCAGAGGAGCAGGUAAUGGGAGAAUGCCCCUCCUCUGAUUCAGAGCGGGGAGGUACCCUGGGGCCCCGCCAUUGCCUAAGGACCACGGGUAAGUGGUGCCAAGGCUCCUUGCCCUUCCCCAUCGACGCUCUGGUGAAUGACUUGUUCCAACAAGUACUUGCUUUCGGGAUGCAACAGCUUCUCUUUUGUCCAAAUCCUUCCCUUGAAUUCCAGAUGUACGAAGAACCUUCCGAAGAGGAAAAUAAUGAAAUCAGGAAGAGGAGACUGUAUUUCAUUUGGACGCUCACGUCCUCAGCUGCUGUCCAGAGUUUCUGUCAUUUGCCCCUCUGGUGCCCACACCACACUGCCUUCCGGCUCCCAGCCUGGCGCAGCAUCCAUGGCUUCCUCCUUCCCGGAAGUCAGUCACCUUCUCUUGAGUCUUUUUCCUUUCCUCUCCCCUGCCCCCAGCUAUCCUGCUAAGAGGACGUGGCAAUUGAACCUGAGCUUCUGGAGCCCAGAGUGGAAUCCUGCCCGAGACCCUGACUUGGUCACGAAAACUCUUCAGGCACAGAAAGCGGGACUCCAGAGAAGCACAACCUCCAGGACAACAAUGGCCUGGCUUUCAAGAGGAGGGGAAGGUAGCUGGAGCUGGCCUUGGGUUUCUCCGCGCCCCUGAAAGAGGACUCUGAGUAUGUUGGAAACCAUCUCUGCACUACGCACAGCAGCUACCAUGCCAUGGAAGGACAGUGGCUAAGCAUGAAUUAAAAAUGAGGACUCUGAGCCUAGAAUUAAACCCCUGCUUCCAUGGUCAACUAAUAUUCAACAAGGGAGCCAAGAACACCCAAUGGAGAAAGGACAGUUCCUUCAACAAGUCGUGCUUGGAAAACUGGAUAAGCACAUGCAGAAAAAUGAAAUUGGACCCCUCUCUUACCCCAUUCACAAAAUUAACUUGACAUGGAUCAAAGACUUACACAAAAGACUUAAAACCGUAAAACUCCUAGAAAAAAACAUAGAGAAGAAGCUCCUCGACAUUGACCGUGGCAAUGAUCUUUUUGGAUAUGACACUAAAAGCACAAACAACAGAAGCAAAAAUCAACAAGUGGGACUACAUCAAACUUAAAAGCUUCCAUACAGCAAAAGGAACAAUCAACAAAAUGAAAAGGCAACCUACAGAAUGGGAGAACAUAUUUGCAAACCAUAGAUCAGAUAAGGGGUUAAUAUCCAAAAUAUAUAAAGGACUCAUA
rnacentral:lncRNA from 1 species